rnacentral:rRNA from 1 species
AGUUUGAUCCUGGCUCAGGAUGAACGCUGGCGGCGUGCCUAAUACAUGCAAGUCGAGCGGUAAGGCCCUUCGGGGUACACGAGCGGCGGACGGCUGAGUAACACGUAGGAACGUACCCCAAAGUGAGGGAUAAGCACCAGAAAUGGUGUCUAAUACCGCAUGUGCUCUAAGGAGUAAAGCUCCGGCGCUUUGGGAACGGCCUGCGCAUGAUUAGCUAGAUGGUGAGGUAAUGGCUCACCAUGGCGACGAUCAUUAGCUGGUCUGAGAGGAUGAUCAGCCAGACUGGGACUGAGACACGGCCCAGACUCCUACGGGAGGCAGCAGUAGGGAAUUUUCCACAAUGGGCGAAAGCCUGAUGGAGCAACGCCGCGUGCAGGAUGAAUGCCUUCGGGUUGUAAACUGCUUUUAUAUGUGACGAAUAUGACGGUAGCAUAUGAAUAAGGAUCGGCUAACUCCGUGCCAGCAGCCGCGGUCAUACGGAGGAUCCAAGCGUUAUCCGGAAUUACUGGGCGUAAAGAGUUGCGUAGGCGGCAUAGUAAGCAGAUAGUGAAAGCGUGUGGCUCAACCAUACUCACAUUAUCUGAACUGCUAAGCUAGAGGACGAGAGAGGUCACUGGAAUUCCUAGUGUAGGAGUGAAAUCCGUAGAUAUUAGGAGGAACACCAAUGGCGUAGCAGGUGACUGGCUCGUUCCUGACGCUCAGGCGCGAAAGCGUGGGUAGCAAACAGGAUUAGAUA